CUCGUGGAACGAGCGGCGGACGGGUGAGUAACACGUGGGCAACCUGCCUGUAAGACCGGAAUAACCCCGGGAAACCGGGGCUAAUGCCGGGUAAUACUUUUCUUCGCAUGAAGGAAAGUUGAAAGAUGGCUUCUCGCUAUCACUUACAGAUGGGCCCGCGGCGCAUUAGCUAGUUGGUGAGGUAACGGCUCACCAAGGCGACGAUGCGUAGCCGACCUGAGAGGGUGAUCGGCCACACUGGGACUGAGACACGGCCCAGACUCCUACGGGAGGCAGCAGUAGGGAAUCUUCCGCAAUGGACGAAAGUCUGACGGAGCAACGCCGCGUGAACGAUGAAGGUCUUCGGAUCGUAAAGUUCUGUUGUUAGGGAAGAACAAGUACCGUGCGAAUAGAGCGGUACCUUGACGGUACCUAACGAGGAAGCCCCGGCUAACUACGUGCCAGCAGCCGCGGUAAUACGUAGGGGGCAAGCGUUGUCCGGAAUUAUUGGGCGUAAAGCGCGCGCAGGCGGUUCCUUAAGUCUGAUGUGAAAGCCC
rnacentral:rRNA from 1 species